rnacentral:rRNA from 1 species
UGACUGCGUACCUUUUGUAUAAUGGGUCAGCGACUUAUAUUCUGUAGCAAGGUUAACCGAAUAGGGGAGCCGGAGGGAAACCGAGUCUUAAUUGGGCGUUAAGUUGCAGGGUAUAGACCCGAAACCCGGUGAUCUAGCCAUGGGCAGGUUGAAGGUUGGGUAACACUAACUGGAGGACCGAACCGACUAAUGUUGAAAAAUUAGCGGAUGACCUGUGGCUGGGGGUGAAAGGCCAAUCAAACCGGGAGAUAGCUGGUUCUCCCCGAAAGCUAUUUAGGUAGCGCCUCGUGAAUUCAUCUCCGGGGGUAGAGCACUGUUUCGGCUAGGGGGCCAUCCCGGCUUACCAACCCGAUGCAAACUGCGAAUACCGGAGAAUGUUAUCACGGGAGACACACGGCGGGUGCUAACGUCCGUCGUGAAGAGGGAAACAACCCAGACCGCCAGCUAAGGUCCCAAAGUCAUGGUUAAGUGGGAAACGAUGUGGGAAGGCCCAGACAGCCAGGAUGUUGGCUUAGAAGCAGCCAUCAUUUAAAGAAAGCGUAAUAGCUCACUGGUCGAGUCGGCCUGCGCGGAAGAUGUAACGGGGCUAAACCAUGCACCGAAGCUGCGGCAGCGACACUAUGUGUUGUUGGGUAGGGGAGCGUUCUGUAAGCCUGUGAAGGUGGCCUGUGAGGGUUGCUGGAGGUAUCAGAAGUGCGAAUGCUGACAUAAGUAACGAUAAAGCGGGUGAAAAGCCCGCUCGCCGGAAGACCAAGGGUUCCUGUCCAACGUUAAUCGGGGCAGGGUGAGUCGACCCCUAAGGCGAGGCCGAAAGGCGUAGUCGAUGGGAAACGGGUUAAUAUUCCCGUACUUGGUGUUACUGCGAAGGGGGGACGGAGAAGGCUAUGUUGGCCGGGCGACGGUUGUCCCGGUUUAAGCGUGUAGGUGUGUGUUCCAGGUAAAUCCGGUUCACUUUAACACUGAGGCGUGAUGACGAGGCACUACGGUGCUGAAGCAACAAAUGCCCUGCUUCCAGGAAAAGCCUCUAAGCAUCAGGUAACACGAAAUCGUACCCCAAACCGACACAGGUGGUCAGGUAGAGAAUACCAAGGCGCUUGAGAGAACUCGGGUGAAGGAACUAGGCAAAAUGGUGCCGUAACUUCGGGAGAAGGCACGCUGACACGUAGGUGAAGUGAUUUACUCACGGAGCUGAAGUCAGUCGAAGAUACCAGCUGGCUGCAACUGUUUAUUAAAAACACAGCACUGUGCAAACACGAAAGUGGACGUAUACGGUGUGACGCCUGCCCGGUGCCGGAAGGUUAAUUGAUGGGGUCAGCGCAAGCGAAGCUCCUGAUCGAAGCCCCGGUAAACGGCGGCCGUAACUAUAACGGUCCUAAGGUAGCGAAAUUCCUUGUCGGGUAAGUUCCGACCUGCACGAAUGGCGUAAUGAUGGCCAGGCUGUCUCCACCCGAGACUCAGUGAAAUUGAACUCGCUGUGAAGAUGCAGUGUACCCGCGGCAAGACGGAAAGACCCCGUGAACCUUUACUAUAGCUUGACACUGAACAUUGAGCCUUGAUGUGUAGGAUAGGUGGGAGGCUUUGAAGUGUGGACGCCAGUCUGCAUGGAGCCGACCUUGAAAUACCACCCUUUGAUGUUUGAUGUUCUAACGUGGACCCGUUACCCGGGUUGCGGACAGUGUCUGGUGGGUAGUUUGACUGGGGCGGUCUCCUCCUAAAGAGUAACGGAGGAGCACGAAGGUUGGCUAAUCCUGGUCGGACAUCAGGAGGUUAGUGCAAUGGCAUAAGCCAGCUUGACUGCGAGCGUGACGGCGCGAGCAGGUGCGAAAGCAGGUCAUAGUGAUCCGGUGGUUCUGAAUGGAAGGGCCAUCGCUCAACGGAUAAAAGGUACUCCGGGGAUAACAGGCUGAUACCGCCCAAGAGUUCAUAUCGACGGCGGUGUUUGGCACCUCGAUGUCGGCUCAUCACAUCCUGGGGCUGAAGUAGGUCCCAAGGGUAUGGCUGUUCGCCAUUUAAAGUGGUACGCGAGCUGGGUUUAGAACGUCGUGAGACAGUUCGGUCCCUAUCUGCCGUGGGCGCUGGAGAACUGAGGGGGGCUGCUCCUAGUACGAGAGGACCGGAGUGGACGCAUCACUGGUGUUCGGGUUGUCAUGCCAAUGGCACUGCCCGGUAGCUAAAUGCGGAAGAGAUAAGUGCUGAAAGCAUCUAAGCACGAAACUUGCCCCGAGAUGAGUUCU